rnacentral:rRNA from 1 species
GAUACAACUUUCAGCAACGGAUCUCUUGGCUCUCGCAUCGAUGAAGAACGCAGCGAAAUGCGAUAAGUAAUGUGAAUUGCAGAAUUCAGUGAAUCAUCGAAUCUUUGAACGCACCUUGCGCUCCUUGGUAUUCCGAGGAGCAUGCCUGUUUGAGUGUCA